CACAGAAUGAAAAAACCGAGGAAG
rnacentral:rasiRNA from 1 species